GGCAACUACUUUCCCUCUCACUGAAGUUUACAAGUGUUGCAGAGUGGUCGGCUCCUCUAAAACUGAGGCCUAACACCUUCGAAGUAUGACAAUGUCGACACUACUGUUUUACCUCUGGUUACGACAACACAGUUAAGUUUUCUUUCCUUUUUUUAUGCGGUGUAAAACCUGCACAGCAAAAAAUUAUGUCAUUUGUAAUAAUGAAAAAGGAUAUUUAGAAUGAGCUAAUGUAGUCAAGAAUGAGCUAAUGUAGUCAAAAUGUCAUAUACUACAUAAGAAUACUUUAAGUUGUCAGAAAUGUAUUUAAGCCUUUGUACUUUAGGAAGGGAAUUAGGGUAACUGAAUCAAUGAUAAUCAUUGUCAUACUGAGAAAAGGUCAAUGCAAAUUUCAGCUAACUUGCUUUUAACAUAGUUUGGCCAGUCAGCACAAAUAAUUUUGAAACCAUGCUUUUAGACAGAUUUAUUUGUUUCCCUCUUAGAAGACAGUGACCUCAAGGACUACAGGAUUUAUAUCCUCUGACUGCAAGCCAGAUUUCUGUAUCCUGUUUAUUAUUUAAUAUGUGCUCUGUAAAAUAAGCACAAUUCAAAUGCUUUGCCAUUCAGUCAGGAGUCAGACCCAAGCCCAGAUUUAGACAGAAUUUAGAUAUGUAUUUUACCCAGCGAUUAUUUAAUGGUUGUGAAACAGAACCACUGAAGCCCUCUUCCAUGUGAGCGCCCCAGCCGCUCGGGUCAGCACGCAGGCAGAGAGCCCCUCUCAGCCCGCUGGGGACCUCGCGGCUGCGACGGUCUGGAGGGACAGCUAUUUAAAUCCUCUCUAGCAGAGGAAGAAAUUAAACAUAGAUCUCCUACUUCCUGGACGAUGCCUUAACUCACAGACGUCGUGAAAAGAAGGAAACGCUAACACCUCUUGCCCUGAUUUUUAAGUGACUCCUGCUGUCUUUCUGAAGAAAAGAUUGCAGGUCUCUCACUUUACAGAAAGAUUACAGAUGGAUGGAGAGACCUCCCUGCAGGCCUGAGGGAAGAGCUGGAUUUAGAGCAUACCCUGGUAUUGCUUCCUCCGGGUUAGGACUCAGCAGCGUUCACUGCGGCUUUGGAUGCUUUCCCACUUCGUCCUCAGGGGAUUUUUCCUGCGCCUGGGCCAAACACAGGCCUCUGGGCUGCACUCGCCUGGAGCUGCUGCUGAGGUUGCUGCUGCAACCUAACCUUGCCCCGAGACGGCUUCUCCCACCACGCGACUUCAUGAAGUGCAAGUUUCCAGUAAAUUUUAGGCAGGCUGUUUCCCAGAAGCCGCUGCCCCCUGGACAUGCUAGUAGUGUAAGUCAGCUAAAUAAGGUAAAGCUAAGAUUCAGCAGAAGCAAAUAGGGAAAACUCAGCAAAAAUUGCACUGUUUUCCAUAUGAUCUUGUAACAUAUUACAAAACCGGUGGAACUCAGCAGGUUUAAACUGCAGUCUGCCCCUACUGAGCUCACCCUUUCUUUCACCUGCUUUCUCAUUCUCCCCCUAGUCACUGUUCGCUCUCUCUGUAUCACUGGCUCUAGCAGCUGAAUCCACAGAGAGGUGAGCAGCCCAAAGCCCAUUUUCUAAACAGCAGACUAACUGCGUCUGCAGCUUGCAGACUCAGCGGCAGUGGAACUGAGUACUUACGACAAGUGAGAUCAAAUUUAACAGCACCCUCCUUUUUUCUUCCCAUCCCCUUCUGAUUCCACACUGAUCUUCUGUGGCCUGCUUUCAAGUGAAUUUCUUUCCUGUGCUCUGUGUUUUUCUUCACCUUCCCUUGAACUUUACAUUUACUUCCCUUCUCCUCUCUCCCUCCACUCUCAUAUCUACAUACAAAACAUUACAAUAUCACGGUAUUGUUAAGCUACAGAAUUAAAAGUACAGUCUGGCUCCAACUAACCUUGGUCUUGCAAAACCAUUUUAUUUCCUGCAAGCUACAACAACUGGGAAUGCAGAAAGCUUUCAAGGUCAUCUCAGCGAGCCCUUCCUACAGUCUAGCUGGAUGGAGGCUCAGUGCUACGGGGAGAUACAUUUUGGCAUUGCCAGGAAUGUCGCAGUUGCCUGUGUCUGCAGACAGAGCUACAGUAAAAGGGAAACUGUUCUCCAUCUGGAGUGCUCCUCGACAACCUAAGUCACUGCUCCAUGACUCCUGGCACUUUCGUGAUCAUCCUUCCCACUGUGUCACAGGCUGCUACCUGGUCUCCUCUCCACAACGUUUCUACAAUUACAGCCAUACAGUUGUAUAGUAACACAUCUUGCAUGUGGCAUAGCGUUGGGUCACAGCCAUGAAAACACUUAAAACUGCUAUCUAAUUGUAAAUGGUCUUACUGAAGUGAAAUGAAUUUACUCACACAUUUAAAAAGCAUUAUGUUCUGUUAAUACAUGACUUGCAGACUCAGAUCAUUAAUUUCUGUGAUUAUCAUGAUAAUGUUUAAAGAUUAACGAAACAGAUCUUAGCCUUUGCGAUGACUUACGUCUGGGUGCAAAAAGAUUACAGGUCAACUUAAUUUUGUUAGUUCUUACCUUGACUAUACCAUUUCAAUGCAAUCAUUCAGAAAGGAGACAAAUUUGUCAACAAAGUUAAAUUAGAGAUGUAAAUUAAGUUAUAGAUAUUAGUAAUAUUAAAAUAUUGCCUUUUACUACCCCCCAAAAAAUCAUAACACAAUGAAAAGAUUCAACAUUCACUAGUAAAAAGGCUUUUUAUAGCACCAGCUUUUGGUUAAGCAGUUUACAAAUUUUAGUAAUUAACAGAUUAAAAACCACUCUGGCACAGCUUCACAACUGCAUGCAAACAGAGACAUUAUUUCCCCCACUAAUCCUAGAAGCAAAUAGUAAAAUUGUUAGCCAAAUUUAGGUCAGGAGCUUAAAUAGCUGAGGGUAUGGCUGUCAGUUCACACUGUAGUCAUGCUUCUCUAAAAAAGAGCAUCUGUUGGUUGACAUCACGAAUUUUGAUAUUACACAGAUAUGCGUUUAUACCAGCUGACUUUAAACAUAACUGAAAAAAUAUCUCCUAAGCAAUUUAUCUAUGAGAAGACAGUAGGAAGAAAAACAACAGCAGCAGUUUAACAUGUGAGAUUUAUAUUCUUGAGUCCUGGGUUUUGACACAAAGUAUUUUUAAUUUUUUUUUUUGUUGAGCAAGUGGGUGAUACUACAGGAUGACAGGAACAGCAUGUGUUCUUGACCAGCUUGCUCUUUCCAAACAACGCUGGGAAGCUGCUGACAUACCAGCAUGCAGUAUGUAUCACUUGUAGAGCAGAACUGCUGAAAGUAACUCGGCCAGCACAUUCACGGACGCUUUCGCAUCUACUCACCAGGUUCCCUAGGGAAAGCGCCUGCUCCCGAACUCAGGCUUUCCCCAGGAGCAGCAAACACUGAACUCUCCCAGCGCGGCUCCCAGGCCUGGGUUCCCCCUUGGCACCUGGUGUCCAGCUGUUCUCCUCUGUGUGUCCCUCAGGUGCUUCCUUAUGUGACCUAUGCAUGGAACAUAAUUUCAGUGUGACCCAGAAGAUGCACUGUACUACACUCCUUUAUCUAAAUUGCAGACUUUCGUUUCUUCCUAUGAAAACUGUGAGUCUGAGGAUGGCUUUUCUAAAAAGACAUUUACACUGCAUGCUUUCAAGAUGUCUACACUUGAGAGUUCAACUGCAGAAAGAUACAACUAAAAAGAAGUAUUCAUCGUUUAAGUACAAGCAGGGAUGUUAAUCUUGCCAUUCUGAAUUGACAGUUGUUCUUUUCAAGUGAACUGUGACUUGAGCUCUGAUUACACAAUCUUCCCAGGCUCCAACAAAAGAAGCUCCAGUUUCACCCUUACUUUGUGCUGCCGAUCUAUUUUUUCAAGUAUUCAUUUUGAUAAAUAAUACAGGACACUACCCUGAAAUUAAGUUUUUGUCAAUUAGAUUUUGCCAUUAAGAGUGGAAACAAUAUCUAUGUAAACAAUCUUUUACAAAAUCCAGUGAGAUUUAGAAAUCUACAAAGUUGGUAAGCUUCCCAGUAUUUCUCAGGUUUGCUUUAUUAUUACUGUCUAUCCUGUUUUAUUAUUACUUUUAUUUUAUAGGUUGGGACAUUUAACAAUGCAUUAGCUUUUCUUAAUUUAACAGUCUCUGAUCCAAAAACACAUGAGCAUUAGACUCUAUUAGAAUCCAAAUAAUCUAUAUCAAAAUUCCUUACCAAGUUUGUCAAAAGCAUAAUGACGACUUUUGUUUUGUUUGCAAUGAACAAGAGAAAGUGUGGUCUUGCUCCUGCCAGCCCAAAACAUGAGUGUCACGGCUACCCCAUGCUUCAUUUUAAACUCAGCAAAAGGAACAGGAUAGUUCGGUCCAACAAACAAAACAAAAAUCAAACACCCUCCUUGCGACAAACCCAAAACUUACUGUCUUCUUCAGUCCUUCAAUCAGUCAAGAAAAAAUCAUCUACCCCACCUCAGAAUUGUCCUCCUCGGAUUUUCUUCCAAUUCUCAUUUUAUAUAAAACACUUGACCUUCAUUUUUUAGUUAUAUCCAUUCUGCUUAUGUUUGUUUAAAAAAACGUAAUAAUUUGAAUAUCAAAUAUCUAAGUGAGAGCUCUUAAAAUGUGAAAGUAAAGUUUAUUACUCACUCACACCACAUAAAAUACAGUCACUGGCAAUCUAUAGACCAUAUGUUGAACCAUUUCUUAAUAGACUUUGCACUUUCAGCCCUGUAGCUAUAUUUUUUGGGAUCACUGCCAAACCCUUUCCUCCUGGUGCUGACAGCUUGCAGCAAUACUGUGCAGACUUCUUCACACCACAUUCUUCAGUCCGAGACAUUAUCUAGAAAUCUAGAUAGCUCAGUGUUGAAAGACUGCUCAAACUUACUCCUGCUUUCUUCCAUUUUAAAAAGAACACAAAACAAAACAGUAUAAAACAAAAACCGUAACAACCCAACAAAACUUUGAUACAGGUAAGUUAAGCUUUGCUAGAAAAACCUGAAGGGUAAAAAAACUCCAAAAGCUCCCAGAGGUACCACCUGCCAAACUCAAUAAUGUGGAACUUGCCCGCGAACCAGGAUGUAGUAUGUAUUUAAUACAUAUGUAUAUAUGUAUUUUUAAUACAUUAUUUAAUACAUGAAUACAAUCUGUAUUUUAACACAUUACUAUGUAUUUACAUAAUUUCAAGUGACAAAACAAGUGAACAGAAAACAAAUCCGUUACAGCUUACUAAAUACAGAGAAGCAAUGUCUGACUCAGAAAGUUCCCGAGCUGCAAAACUGCUGGGGGCUGACAAUGCUUUUGGAGAAGGUAUUACUAUAUGCUUUUUGUUUGUACAGCCUUUUUUGGGCAUUAACUUUUAACUAGUGCUGGUUAAAAGAAACCUCUGGUCUGACUUAUUCAUUCUUCUGUUCUACAUUAUGGUGAACCUCAUUUCCCUUGUUGCUGUGGCUUUUUCUAGAAUUGUUUUUUUACCUCAUUACCUGGGUCUGGUUCCAAAAUUAUGUGUGUGCACUCACAAAAGACUGCAGAAACCUUGGGAAUGAGCCAGCAACUGUUUUAGCCAGUAUGUGCCUUCGCUUCUCUACUUAAUUAUGCCCAGGGCUCAACAGAUGCCUGGAUCCAAACCGAUAUCUACUCACCUGUCUCUCAUCACUACAACAGGAUUUUGCUAAGAAAAAACACAACAGCUUCUAGGAGGGGGAUUUUCACAUCCAAAGAAGCGCAGAUUUUGGAGAUUCUUACAGACCCAUUAUAUUCAAUUAACAGUGAGCUAGAGAUAGGGAAGAAAAAGGAAUAGUUGUGUUCGUCCCUAAUCAUAUAUGCAGACCACUUGCGAUAGUGCUCUUCAGCUACCUGUUACUACAGAUACCUGCUGCUAAACAAGCAACAAGGUAAAGAACUAAGUUCUCUAAAUACAUCUACAGCUUUAUUACACAGGAUGCUUCAUGAAAUUUAUGUUUUGAACACAGAACUUUCAGCCUGUGAAUGUAACUUUAGAUGAGGAAACAAAUUAUUGU